UACGUAGGGGGCAAGCGUUGUCCGGAUUUAUUGGGCGUAAAGAGCUCGUAGGCGGUUUGGUAAGUCAGGUGUGAAAUCUCCACGCUCAACGUGGAGGGGCCACCUGAUACUGCCAUGACUGGAGUCCGGUAGAGGAGUGUGGAAUUCCCGGUGUAGCGGUGAAAUGCGUAGAUAUCAAGAGGAACACCUGCGGCGAAGGCGGGUUGCUGGGCCGACACUGACGCUGAGGCGCGAAAGCUAGGGGAGCGAACAGG
rnacentral:rRNA from 1 species